UUUCACUUUUCACUUCACUGAAUUGUUUAAUAGCGUGCUUGUAAUAAUAAAGAAUGUGACACUGUGGAUUCUUAGCUCCUCCCAGUGAGUAUGAAGCAGCCAAUUCAUGGAACCCAAGUGAUCAAACACAGACAAUGGAAAUUGAAAAUCCUGAGAAUCAGCCUGUUAGGAAACUUGCAGGGUUCAAAGGACCAGAUUUCCUCUCACUCGAUCUCAAAUCACUAGUCCUUCAAGUGUGGCAAGUUUUGUGGAGGCAACACUUGUGUAGUAUUUAGAUCUAAGGUUAGAACUAACCAGUGGUCUAAUACAAAGAUCUAAAGCUGAUGUG
rnacentral:lncRNA from 1 species